GUUGAAACACCGGUUCUCAUAUGAUCACCUAAGUUAAACAACAUUGAGCCUGGUCAGUACUUAGACAAGUGACCAUCCGGGAAUACCAGAUUCUGUAA